GGGUGAUUAGCCCAGCUGGGAGAGCACCUCCCUUACAAGGAGGGGGUCGGCGGUUCGAUCCCGUCAUCACCCACCA
rnacentral:tRNA from 1 species